UUUGGCGCUGAGUGGUGGCGGAGUAUGGAGGCGAAGGCGGCGCCCAAGUCAGCUGCAGGCGGCGCGUGCUCGGUGUCGGCAGAGGAGACAGAAAAGUGGAUGGAGGAGGCAAUGCACAUGGCCAAAGAAGCCCUUGAAAAUACUGAAGUUCCUGUUGGUUGCCUUAUGGUCUACAAGAAUGAAGUUGUAGGGAAGGGGAGAAAUGAAGUUAACCAAACCAAAAAUGCUACUCGACAUGCAGAAAUGGUGGCCAUUGAUCAGGUCCUCGAUUGGUGUCGUCGAAGUGGCAAGAGUCCCUCUGAAGUAUUUGAACACACUGUGUUAUAUGUCACUGUGGAGCCGUGCAUUAUGUGUGCAGCUGCUCUCCGCCUGAUGAAAAUCCCACUGGUUGUAUAUGGCUGUCAGAAUGAACGAUUUGGUGGUUGUGGCUCUGUUCUAAAUAUUGCCUCUGCUGACCUACCAAACACUGGGAGACCGUUUCAGUGUAUCCCUGGAUAUCGGGCUGAGGAAGCAGUGGAAAUGUUAAAGACCUUCUACAAACAAGAAAAUCCAAAUGCCCCAAAAUCAAAAGUUCGGAAAAAGGAAUGUCAGAAAUCUUGAGCAUGUUCUGAUGAAAGAACCAAGUGACCCAAAGUGACCUGGACAAGAUUCCUAGACUGAAAGCUGUUGACAUCGUUGAAUCAUAUGUUUAUAUAUUGUUUUUAAUCUGUGGGAAAAUGGUGUCUCUCAUCAUUUGCUCUGUUAAGGGAACAAAUUAGCACUUUUUAGAAGUCUGACAAUUGUAAACAAUUGUUAGCUUUUCCACAGGCUGAUUCCCAUUUUAAGAUGGGGGAAAAUUAAGGUUUGAGGUUUUAGAAAUUAGCAAGUAGUGCAUACCCUUCCAGCCACAAGUGCCCAGUCCGGGCAAAUGCUGACUUUUUAGAGAAUGUGUGGCCAGACCCAGGGGCCUGGAGUGUGUCUGAACUGCAUGCAGUGUGCCACCCUGAGAACACCUUCUCCAGGACUGCCAUUUCAGAGUCAGAUUCUUCAUUUUUUGCAGCUACGAUGUUCUGCCAGAUCAAUGCGGGGCUGUGACUUCUCUCUAAAUUGUAUGACAACCAACCUGGAGUUUUGCCUCUGUGGAGUACCACCCGGUCAGGCCAGGAGCCUAGUCUAAAGGAAACUCUACCAUCGGGGACAUCAGCUGCUGUGGCCAGAGAAGAGAACAUGAUGGUCCAGGGUGCAGCUGCUGAAGAAGGAUCCCAGACUCUACCCAGAUCCCCAAAUACCAUCUCUUCUGCCUGUAACUGAGCCAGUAAAAGGAAAAAGCAGCUUCUGGGGGCCACAACAAAGGCACAUUGAUAAAGGCCCUCUUUAACAUCAGGAGGAUAUGGAGGAAGAGAGGUAAGGACUGAGGAAGUGGUUCCAUGAAGGAAGGACGGGAUAUUUUUGAAUUCUCUCCUGAUCUUCUUACCCGAGGAGGACAGCAGCACUGAGGGUAGACUACGGCUCCAGUGGUUAAUUUCACCGGAUCAAGAAGAGACAUAGGAAAGGAAAAACGUUGGUGUGUAAGGGAGGGACAGUCACUUCUUUGUUCAUGCUAUUAGUUGAUUAGGUAAACAUCAUUUGAUUUGUCUUUGUGCUAGUGGGCAGAACUACAGUGUAAAGUUGAAAGUCAUUUUGGACUCCCUUUUCUCAUAAGAGGCAGGGUGAGAUGGCUUGGAAGUAGGCUGAGAAACGUUAUUCUUGAUAGUUGUCCAAACUCUCUGCCUCGUAGGAGGCAUGGAUAUGGUUUUCCCUCACAUUUGGGUAUGAAAUCUGAGAUUCCAUUUCUGAUCUCUACUUAGGAUGGCCAUAGGUAGUUCAGUACUAGUGACCUGUUUUGAAUCAAAGCCUAUUAGGCUCACCUAGCUUAGAUAGGAGCAUGGUCCACAAAAUCUAGGCUAGCUAGAAAUGGAGCUGACAGAAGGCAGACUCGCCUGUUAGAAUAACUAGUAAUAGCUAAGGCUUAUUGACUAUUGUGUGCCAGGCAUGACUCUAAGGACUUUGAAGCUAUAGUUUUAUAUAAUCCUUGCAGUAACCUUGUGAGGUUACUGUUCUUAUCUCCAUUUAAGGAGUGAGGAAAGAGAGCUUUAUGGAGUUUAACUUGCUGAUAUCACAAAACUGCUGAGUAGCAGAACCAGAAUUUUAACUCCAGAGCUCAUAUUUCCUAACCAUCAUACUAAACUAUUUCAACAAGUUUAUCCAAAUAGGAAAAGAACAGAAAGGACGGUGAUGAGUGUCAUUUUCUGUCCAGUCCUCCAGGGGAACAAAACCUCAUAAGCAGGAUUUUUGUUUUUAAGGCAGAGUCUCACUCUGUCGCCCCGGCUGGAAUGCAGUGGUGCAAUCUCAGCUCACUUCAACC